CACUUUCCCAACUCCUUUUCAAUUUCUCACAUUAAAGACCACUUUUAAUGACUCUGACUCUAUCCCCUGGGAAGGAAAUGGACUAUCUAUUUAGUUUGCCCUGCUUUGGGGGUUACUGGAGUUGGAAGAGUUUGUAGAAGAUUUGGGGUUUUAGGAGAUUGUGUCAUCACAAGUCACAGACCAUUGUAAUUGGAGAAGCCUUCUGGAAGAGGCCAUCAGAGAAGGCACCCAGUGGUUGCCCUCGGGAUGGAUGAUGAGCCAUUUGGUUGGUCAGGGGCAAGGCUCAUUGUGCGGAACCGGAGUCUUGGUAUUUUUAAUUGCCCUCAUAAUUUUUAUUACCAGUUAUGAGUAUCCUGGGUGACUAUGUCAUAGACCAAGAAAAUAACCUCUGAACAGAAUAUGCCAAGAGUGAAGUGGGCUGGGGCAUUUCAUUUCUAAAAGUACACAUGGCAUGGAGUCAGCAGCUUCACGCUGGGAAGUGCCCGAGAAAAGGGGAGGAGCGAUGCACCCCUGGCCUGCUGAGAGGAGUCUGUGCCAGCCUCACUUCUGAUGCCUCACAGCUCUCUGACACGAUUGCAUCCCCCAGAUGCCUCACGGAGAAAAUGUGAAUUUGGGACUGGUGACACGUCAAUUAAUUUCACAACACCGGAAAGCACACUCAGGAUGCUGGUCUUAUCACGUGUUGGAUCUCACUGGAUUAGCUGUUUUCCCUCCAGUGGCUGGAGCCUAGGACCAUCCUGGAUGGCAGCAUCUCAGACUCAGAAUAGUGCAGCAACAGGGAAAGCUAUUCAAAAAGUAUAUCCAGUGGGAAGAGAGUUCUCAAAAAAUUGUUGUCUGUUUACUCUGUUGAUAGUUCCUUUUGGUGCAAGCAUCUGGAAAGCUCUCAAGUACCAGACUGGGGUUAUAGGUUCUUGGGAGGAAGGCCACAGAGAUAGAGGGCCAUUUUCAUCACAUCCUGUCAAGGGCAGCUGUUGCAAAUGGCCAUGGUUUCCAUGAAGAGUGCACAGAUGGCUCCGUCCUCACAACUUCCUUAGAAAGAUGGAAAAUGGAACUUGUCUUGAUGACAGUGUCUGCUAGGUUCAUCAACUUCUGAAAUGUGGUGACAGAGC
rnacentral:lncRNA from 10 species